UUCGGAUUGCGGCGACGUGAGCGGNCGCCGCCCGCGACGUCGCAAGAAGUCCACUGAACCUUAUCAUUUAGAGGAAGGAGAAGUCG
rnacentral:rRNA from 1 species